GAAUUAUUUAUUGUACAACAUUUAGGCAUAUCUGCAUUAAGCAACUAUGAGCAAAUCACUUCUGUUUUCAUCGGAACAAUUUGCUAUCAACUUUUACUCAAGGAAUCAAUUUGUAUAACCAGAAAACAUCAUGUACAGUAUUUAAGUUGUGGGAAUCAAAAAGUGCAUGCAACGCACUGUUUUUUGUCUGAGGAGCUGAUGCGUGUAUGCAUGCCCUGUUUGUUCACAGUAAAGAGGAAGACUAAAGUGAUUUCACUGAGACUGCUCCAAUUAAACUAAAUGCACAGUCUUCUAAACAUACUUUGCUGUUGACGUUUCUGGUGAAGUUUUUUUUGUUCUUCUUUAUACACAUAUAUAUAUAUAUUUUGUCACAAGGGACCUUUUAGGAUCAAAUUAUCAUUUUGUCAUUGAUUAAACUCACUCAGUACAUAUGAUUUCUCCAUUGCAACUGAUAGCAAAAUUAUCAGGUGGAGCACCCAAAUGUGUUUUUGAAUGCUGUUGCAGCAUUUAAUCUCAAUUUGUUGGGUAAUUUAUUAAUUAUAUCAUUAUAUCAGUUAGAACGUCAAAAUCAAACUUUACAAUUUCUUGCCGAUGCAGAACAAACAACUUAUAAAACAAAGUCAUACUCACUUAAAACAUGCCAGAAACUGUAGAUUUUACUCCAGCAUGAGCUCAGCAUCAUAACCAACAGAGUUUCUUAAGUUUGGGCAGGGCAUCCAUCCAACGCAAUGCAGCAGAGUCACCGAGUUCAGGGAUUCUGUGGUGUAUGAAGAGGAUUUAAGAGCUGAGCCUUAAAUGUGAUGUUUUAAAAUGGGAAGAAAAGGGAAAGAACCGCCCUCCCACUUCAUUCUCAAAUACGUUGAGUUAAAGAGAUGAAUUAUGACAUUUGGAAAAGCCCUAAUAUGUCAGCUCCCUCCGAAUUUGCAGAUACAUUUCCUGUUUUAUGUUCCAUCUCUACAAAUUUUAAAUCGUCAAAACAUCAAAUUAAAAUGGAAUAAAAGUCAUCUGUUUAUGCUCUAAAUUAGAGCCAUUUGUUUGCUGAUUAAUAAUUAGCCCUUUAAAAUUAGGCAAAUCUAUCAGAAGUCAUAUAAAAGGGUCUGGUUUUCAUGCUGGCAGCAGUGAGUUCUGUGAUUAAAGUCAAAGAAGAGGAGGAGGAGGGGGACAGAUGAUAAAUCGCCAUUAAUCUGAAUAGAAUUGAACCAUUUCAAAUAAACAACAGCUCUGACGGGUUUGGAAGAGAUUCAAGAACAGCUGGACGAGCAGAGAUGAACAGUGCGACAUGCUGAGAAUGACAUUCAACAAAACCUUCAGGAUUAUUCUUGGAAUCGCAGGAACUGCUGUACUGUACAAAUGUAGAUCUAAUGUUUGCCAUUAUUUAUUGUCCUGUUUAUCUGUAUAAAAUAAAAGCAGGGGUUUUGUGACGAUAAA